rnacentral:rRNA from 1 species
CGAAGGGGCUAGCGUUGUUCGGAAUUACUGGGCGUAAAGCGCGCGCAGGUGGUCUUUCAAGUCAGUGGUGAAAGCCCGGAGCUCAACUCCGGAAAUGCCAUUGAAACUGUAAGACUUGAGGAUGAGAGAGGUGAGUGGAAUUCCCAGUGUAGAGGUGAAAUUCGUAGAUAUUGGGAAGAACACCGGUGGCGAAGGCGGCUCACUGGCUCAUAUCUGACGCUCAGGCGCGACAGCGUGGGGAUCAAACAGGAUUAGAUACCCUGGUAGUCCACGCCGUAAACGAUGAAUGCUAGCCGUUGGGCAGCUUGCUGUUCAGUGGCGCAGCUAACGCAUUAAGCAUUCCGCCUGGGGAUACGGCCGCAAGGUUG